rnacentral:rRNA from 1 species
GACGAACGCUGGCGGCGUGCUUAACACAUGCAAGUCGAGGGAGGGAGAGCUUUCGGGCUCUACCCGACCGGCGGACGGGUGAGUAACACGUGAGCGAUCUAUCCCUGUGCGGGGGACAACCCGGGGAAACUCGGGCUAAUACCGCAUGGUCGGCUCUGCUGCAUGGCAGAACCGGGAAAGGUGGCCUCUUUACAAUGCUACCGUGCAGGGAGGAGCUCGCGGGCUAUCAGCUAGUUGGUGAGGUAAUGGCUCACCAAGGCGACGACGGCUAGGGGGUCUGAGAGGACGACCCCC